rnacentral:rRNA from 1 species
CGCUUUUGUGGGGUGCUCGAGUGGCGAACGGGUGAGUAACACGUGAGUAACCUGCCCUUGACUUUGGGAUAACUUCAGGAAACUGGGGCUAAUACCGGAUAGGAGCUCCUGCUGCAUGGUGGGGGUUGGAAAGUUUCGGCGGUUGGGGAUGGACUCGCGGCUUAUCAGCUUGUUGGUGGGGUAGUGGCUUACCAAGGCUUUGACGGGUAGCCGGCCUGAGAGGGUGACCGGCCACAUUGGGACUGAGAUACGGCCCGG